AUGAGGAGAUUUUUGGUUAAUAGAGCAAGCACUGAAAAUGUGAAUGGUGUGCAACCGGAAAUAGAAGUGGAGGCACAACCACCUCCUAACAUUGCCAAUGAAUUUAAUCCAAAUGAUAUUGAGCGUGAUCCAGGGAAGAGGAAACAAAUUUGUGAGUACAUCUCCUUAAUUGUGACCACAACAACUACAUCUUGCAAGAGAAGGGAUGCAUUGACAGAGGCACAACACCAAGAUAUUCUGCAUAGACUUGAGAGUGGUGAGAUAUCUAUAGGAAGGGGCUUGCACCAAUCAUCUACUCUUGCUAGGCCAGGUGACACUAGAUGGGGUACUUAG
rnacentral:rRNA from 1 species